rnacentral:rRNA from 1 species
UACGUAGGGUCCGAGCGUUGUCCGGAAUUAUUGGGCGUAAAGAGCUCGUAGGCGGUCUGUUGCGUCGGCUGUGAAAACCCGGGGCUCAACUCCGGGCCUGCAGUCGAUACGGGCAGACUAGAGUUCGGUAGGGGAGACUGGAAUUCCUGGUGUAGCGGUGAAAUGCGCAGAUAUCAGGAGGAACACCGGUGGCGAAGGCGGGUCUCUGGGCAACAACUGACGCUGAGACGCGAAAGCGUGGGGAGCAAACAGG